GCUACGCACAUGUAUGCGGUAUGUUUAAAAACACACCAACGCUGCUACACCUGACACCCUGAGAAAGAACCACCACGAAAAUCUGAUCUGCUCAGGGGUGGUCUCUUUCCAGUCAUGAAUGAGCUGGCCAAUAUGUGUUGAUACAAGCUAAGUGCAACUCAGACGUGACUCUAGGGCUGUUUCAAUGUUGGAAAUGUUCUUGUUUGUUGGGAAAUUUACACUCUUUCUCACUUUCAGUAACAGUUUAAUCUGGUCAGAGUGAAAUAAACCGUUCAGGUCUGUGUACUUAUAGAAUAGAGCCUGUUGCUAGAUGAGGAAGUAAACUGUUAUUUAAGGUCAUACCUGAAGGUCAUGGCUGUUACACCUUGAUAAAAUGUGCGUGUGUCGCAAGUGGGGCAGCCGUAGACAGAGUAGAGCUGGGAAAGAAAGAACAAGUUCACAUUGAGAGAUUCUUCAAGCUUUCUUCUCCUACAGUAUAACACUAAGGCAAGGCAGAUUGUUCCAUUUUGAUUUACAGCAACCAGGUAUAUCUCAAUGACCUGGCGGACAUUUCUAGCCUCUUUAUUUUGAAUUCUCACACUAUCUCACUGGUGGAAAACUUUGGAAGUUGUCUCAAAAUAAAGGUCCAUAUUUGGAUUUUCUUCACUGAUUUCUUUCAUUUCGAUCUCUCACCGAUGGACGGAUCUGAACUCAGUCAUGAAUUUAGAAUUUCAGAACAUGCAAAUGGAAAAACGCCAGAAAAGAUUUGGUGAAUGUAAUUAGCACACGAGACAUCAGAAUAUAAUAAAGACCGGCAGUACGUGCAUGCCUUAUAGUUGAUAUUUA
ensembl:lncRNA